AGAGUUUGAUCCUGGCUCAGGACGAACGCUGGCGGCGCGCCUAACACAUGCAAGUCGAACGGAGUCAAGAGGAGCUUGCUUUUCUUGACUUAGUGGCGAACGGGUGAGUAACGCGUGAGUAACCUGCCCUGAAGUGGGGGACAACAGUUGGAAACGACUGCUAAUACCGCAUAAGCCCACGGAUUCGCAUGGAUCUGCGGGAAAAGGAUUUAUUCGCUUCAGGAUGGACUCGCGUCCAAUUAGCUAGUCGGUGAGGUAACGGCCCACCAAGGCGACGAUUGGUAGCCGGACUGAGAGGUUGAACGGCCACAUUGGGACUGAGACACGGCCCAGACUCCUACGGGAGGCAGCA
rnacentral:rRNA from 1 species